GCGUUUAUCCGAUAGCAAGAGAAUACACAAUGCAUACUCGAAAACAGAGGAGUCUAUCUAACCUCGCCAACAGGACAAAAGAUUGCGCCCAUCUAUGGCGCGUUAAUCGGAUACGUUCGCGUCGCUCGCAGAAAAUAAUAAACACGGCAUCACGUAACCUUCGGGCCGGUAUGAACCUUUAAAAUUCCACGGUUAAUUAUUGAAUGUCGUGAACAAGUGAACCGCCGUCCUCCAGAAAUCUGGGCGCGUUUCUCAGCCCAUGAAACGAAUUAUGGGCAUGCAAAAUUCGAAGAGUUACUUUCUUUAAGUAUCGUUCACCAUCGUAGAUGGCGCUACGAAAGCUCAUCCACCGAAUAUUUCUUCGCAGACAGGACACAGACGAUGACAUAAUAUCGAAAAAAUCGUUGCAGACGGUGAAGCAGAUCAUCAACUUCCUGAAAGAACAUGCCAGAGAGGAAGGUUUAUUCCGACGUGCAGGCCGUCGUGAUCUCAGAAGAAGGAUCUUAAAUUCUUUGAAGAAAGGAGAGAAACCUCAUUUAGGGAACAAUGACGCGGCUUUGGAAUGCGCAGCAGCGUUACAACUUUUCUUAUGUCAUUUAAAGAAACCCGUCAUGCCCCAGCACGUCCAGCAGCUUCUUCUGGCUGAUAAUCCCGGAGUGACCGCCCACAUGAUCGCCAGAGACGCCCUAGGAUUGAUACGACAGGAUGUUGGUGGUCGUCAUGGAGAGCUAUUGGCUGGUCUUCUUGAUUUACUGAGACACUUGACCCUUUCUGGUCCUCCAUCCGAGAGAUCAGAGCUUCGUGGUUCACCGCUUCCGAUUGCACUGCUUCCAGUCUUCUUCACUUUAACGCCGGCUGAUCUGGUAAAAUGGAAGCAAGUGGCCGCCAGAUUCAGCGAAUUAAUUACCGAGGCCCCUGAGCAACUGCAGCUGAAUGAAAAUCGAUUGUACGAAAUAGAAUCAACGAGGCUAUCCAUUGGGAACGCGGGCAACGUAAGAAAUAGAAACUUUCUCACGGCGUAGAAAAGAUUAACUGGAUAUUGUUUUUCGAAAAACAAUUUUUCUUCAUCCGCCACUCAUAUUUGUUCGCGAUGAAAAAUUGAAUAUUUGAAAAAAAAAGAGAGAGAGAGAGAAAAGAAUUUUUCCGUGGAGAGAGAUUGAAUCUUUAUUUUUCUCUUUUUUUAAUGAAAAGAAAAUUGUAAAAUUACAAAGGUUAGGUUGGAGAGAUAACUGGGAUUCUUGAUGUGCCGUUGCACGGUCCACCGGCGAGUAGACUUCAUCCAGUAAUUUCCAAUUCGAAUUGAAAGCACCUAGUAUUAAGCGGCAUUACAAAUGUAAUUUUUUUUGUACACAUGUAACGAGAUAUUUUAAAUUACCUGCAUUUCCGCCCAUAUCUUCAAUCGCGGAAUUUAAUUCCUUUUUUUUUUUUCCUAACAUUACAUUUUUUUUUCAAUAUUUUUCUUCUUUUUUUUUCAUUCUAUUCUUGUCCUCUUUCUUCUUACUUAAGAAACUUUGAUCCUUCAUUUUGAUUUGGAAUGAAAAUGAUUUGGCGUGUAAAAAAAAAAAUUAAGAAUAUAUAUAUGUACGGUAUAUAUAUGAUAAAUAUGCUAGAGAUUAUCAAUUUGUAAUCAAUUAUAUUUGAAAAAAUAUAAAAAUAAA